CACGUAGGGCGCGAGCGUUGUCCGGAAUUAUUGGGCGUAAAGAGCUCGUAGGCGGCCCGUUGCGUCCGCUGUGAAAGCCCGGGGCUUAACCCCGGGUCGGCGAGUGGAUACGGGCAGGCUAGAGGUGAGGUAGGGGAGAAUCGGAAUUCCCGGUGUAGCGGUGAAAUGCGCAGAUAUCGAGAAGAACACCAAUAGCGAAAGCACUCUGCUGGGCCGAAACUGACACUGAGAGACGAAAGCUAGGGGAGCGAAUGGG
rnacentral:rRNA from 1 species